CUGUGACCACAGCAUGCAGGACAGAAGAUUUUUUUAAAAUUUACCCCCACUCCCAGGCCCCAUUGUCACUAUCCUAAACCAUGGCCCUCAUGGCUAUUUAAACCCAAAACGCUGGUUAAGUAUAUAAUGUGCAUAAUUUAAUUGCUGCUAUUGUUUACAUAAUCACCUAUCCCAAAAUGAAAAAUUCCAAGUCAUGCUGCCCAGGGGCAGAAUAGAGCAGCUGCUUUGCAUGCAGAAGGUCCCAGGUUUGAUUUUGGCAUGUCCAGGUAGGGCUGGGAAAGACUCCUGGCUUGAGGCUUUGGAGAGCCACUGCCAGUCAGCUCAGACCAGAGCUGCUCAACUUCAGCCCUCCAAAGGUUUUUGGACUACAACCCCCAUAAGUGAGUGAGAGGCACAUCUAUUGGACUUUCUAAACUUCUGGCCCAUUCAUUCUAAAGCUGCUCAGUGCUGGAGGGGGCAGCUCAGAAGGCAAUGCAAAGAGACCUUGUGAGGAAUGCAGAAUAGUUACCCAACAACUGAGAACACAGAGGAAGAAACUAAAGAGAGUCUAGUGGUGAUCCAGGACCAGGAGGCAACCAGACUCAGUCUCAGGUAUCAAAAAAAUUAGGACUGGCCUGCACAGGACAAAUGCAUCAAAGGAAUGGAGAGGAACAGAUUACAUACUGAAGAUCCAUACCUGUUGGCUAUUACACCUGUGCACUAGAAAAUUCCUGCCAUUUGUCAGAGAUGGAAUGUCAUCAAUAAAGAUUAUACAAGCUCUGUCAGCUGCACAAGACAAGCUAUGAUUACCCUACUGGAAUGCCUGCACACCUUGCCUUCUUUCCUUGGGCACAGCUUCAUUCUCACACUUCCAGUUUUGUGCUAAAGAAAAAGAAGGGCAGCAGGACCACAGGAAGCUCCCAUGCAGACAAGCCUUCAAAUCAACGGAAAUGGAAAUACUGAAUUCAAAAGAAUCUAACUCAGCCGUUCCAAAGUAUCCUACUGGAAUCUUUACCUGGAAGAUAUAGCUGAAAGCAAAGAAGUUUCAUUAUUCUUCCCAUUAACUGCAUUUUGCCAUUUCUGUGCAGCAUUCCUUCCGGACAUUGUUCAUUUAAAAGCUACUGCACAGAACAGUUUUGACUAGAUGUAAGUGUGUGUCAUGUGAAAUGCUUAAAUUUGACCUGAAGGAGCUGUGAAACUUUUUUUAAAAAGUUAAAAGCAUUAAAGAGAAUGAAAAGGAAAGGAGAGGGGAAGUCUAGAAAGUGCCUCCACCACAAAGAAUGCCUUUUUUUUGGGGGGGGGGGGUGUCAGGCACAUCAAAAACAGACGACCACCAUGCCUGCACCACUGUAUGUUGCAGUUAUAAAGUAUAAUCAAUAAAAGAUUGCUAAUUCAUUUGUGAAAGCACAGAAAUUGUGAUAUAUUCACAUAGUGCUUUGUUCAUAAGCCAGGCAGCAUAAGGUUUAUAUCUCACAUUUGUAUACUAAACUGUGAAGAUCAAUGGCUUAUAUGAACCCCUAUUGGCUUCUAGUCACUAAAAGCUAACACAUGCCAUCAUCGUUCACAUACACACCCUUUAUCAUGUAUAACUUAACUGACUGCAUAAAAUUACUAUGUAAACCUGUAGCUUUUAAAACAUGCUUUAUAGGAGUAUAUAAACACACUUGAAGACCAUUACAUAUUUGUUUUAAAAGCCAUCAUUUGCAAUAAUAAAUAAUGUUCCAGCAUGGCUGUUAGUAACAUGUACAACAAUGACGAGACAUAUGAUUAGAUUUAGAAGAGGAGACUUGGUCUUGUGGUAGCAAGCAUGAGUUGUCCCCUUAGCUAAGCAGGGUCCACCCUGUUUGCAUAUGAAAGGGAGACUAGAAGUGUGAGCACUGGUAAGAUAUUCCCCUCAGGGGAUGGAGCCGCUCUGGGAAGAACAUCUACUUGCUUGCAUGUAGAGUUCCCUCCCUGGCAUCUCCAAGAUAGGGCUGAGCGAAAUUCCUGCCUGCACCCUUGGAGAAGCUGCUGCCAGUCUGUGUACACAAUACUGAGCUAGAUGGACCUAUGGUCCGAUUCAGUAUAUGGCAGCUUCCUAUGUUCCUAUGAUUUCCAAUAGUUAGUUUCUGGAUCACUUAUAAUCCUGAGUAAACUAGAGGACAGAGCUUUUACAAAAUGCUCCUCUGUGAGUAUGGAAAUUUCCCAGUAUAGAUUGCUCCUGUUCUUUGUGCUGAGAUAACUUAAAAUUUCAUGCAGCACAAGAAAGGAGAGCAGUGGCUAGGUUUGCAGCUGGAAGGAUAUCAGUAGCCUGGUCAGAGAGGAGCAAAUACAUUCCUGUAGUACCUCUUUGAAGGUUUCAUGAG